rnacentral:rRNA from 1 species
UACGUAGGCAGCAAGCGUUGUUCGGAGUUACUGGGCGUAAAGGGUGUGUAGGCGGUUUUCUAAGUCUGGUGUGAAAUCUCCCGGCUCAACUGGGAGGGUGCGCCGAAAACUGGAAGGCUAGAGUGCGGGAUGGGAGAGUGGAAUUCCUGGUGUAGCGGUGAAAUGCGUAGAUAUCAGGAAGAACACCAGCGGCGAAGGCGGCACUCUGGGCCGGAACUGACGCUGAGGAGCGAAAGCGUGGGUAGCAAACAGG